rnacentral:rRNA from 1 species
GAUGAACGCUGGCGGCGUGCCUAAUACAUGCAAGUCGAGCGAACUUUCGGGAACUUUCUCCCUAUAGUUAGCGGCGGACGGGUGAGUAAAACGCGUGGAACCUCCCUCUAAAACUGGGAUAAAACCGGGAAACCGGGGCUAAAACCGGAUAACAUAGAAUAACACAUAGCCUUCAAUUAAAAAGGAGCUUUUAGCUACCACUUACAGAUGGACCCGCGGCGCAUUAGCUAGUUGGUGAGGUAACGGCUUACCAAGGCGACGAUGCGUAGCCGACCUGAGAGGGUGAUCGGGCACACUUGGACUGGGACAAGGGCCAGACUUCCACGGGGAGCAGGAGUAGGGGAUCCUUCGGCAUGGGGGGAAGGCUGGCGGAGCAACGCCGGGGGGGCUGAGGAGGCCUUCCGGUCGUAAAGCUCCGUUGUUAGGGGAGAAAAAGUAGCGUUCGAAUAUGGCGGUACCUUGACGGUACCUAACCAGAAAGCCACGGCUAACUACGUG